AUGAACGCUGGCGGCGUGCCUAAUACAUGCAAGUCGAGCGAACAGACGAGGAGCUUGCUCCUCUGACGUUAGCGGCGGACGGGUGAGUAACACGUGGAUAACCUACCUAUAAGACUGGGAUAACUUCGGGAAACCGGAGCUAAUACCGUAUAACAUGUUGAACCGCAUGGUUCAACAGUGAAAGACGGUCUUGCUGUCACUUAUAGAUGGAUCCGCGCCGCAUUAGUUAGUUGGUAAGGUAACGGCUUACCAAGGCAACGAUGCGUAGCCGACCUGAGAGGGUGAUCGGCCACACUGGAACUGAGACACGGUCCAGACUCCUACGGGAGGCAGCAGUAGGGAAUCUUCCGCAAUGGGCGAAAGCCUGACGGAGCAACGCCGCGUGAGUGAAGAAGGUCUUCGGAUCGUAAAACUCUGUUAUUAGGGAAGAACAAAUGUGUAAGUAACUAUGCACGUCUUGACGGUACCUAAUCAGAAAGCCACGGCUAACUACGUG
rnacentral:rRNA from 1 species